AGAAAAAGCAAGUCCAGUCAGCAAACAUGCACAUGAAUUUUAAUAUCACCCUCUGACCAUUUGAACACAAAAAUCUUUCUGAGCAAGACAGUUUCUUGAUAAAGUUUCAUUCAUGCGUCAAGAUACUUCAUAAAACUUCCACAAACACUUUACUUAAUCAAGGAGUCUCUGUAUGCACAGAUAUGUAAUGUUCUUUUCCUAUAUUUAGACUUCUGCAGUGAAUAUUUGUAUAGCCGACGCAUAAGUGGCCAACACUGCUAUGUCUCAGUUACUGUGUGGUUAUGUGGACAGUUUUACAUGUAGUGCCAGCCACAAUAGAAACACAUAAAAUGCUGGGACUUUUUCCCCCUCCUGGGUUCCCACAGUUUGAUUUAAAAACUGAAAAAACAGCAGGAAAUGAACAUGAGAUGUGUAGUUACAUUUCCAGGGAGGUGCAUGUCAGGUUACGGCGUAGGGUUUCAGAGAGGUUUGCAGUUACAAUCUACCUACGGCAUAGACUUACUAGAAGUAUAAAUCACCCGUGAUACUGAGUAAGAGCAGUGUUGAGUUUGAAGGUGUUUGGAUGAGACCUUCUCAUUUCACAACAUGUGAGGCGUUUAGGGAAUAUCUGUCAUGCAUACACCAUCCAUCACCACCGAGUGAAUUUCAAGCUGUGGGAAACAGUGCGGUGCAGUUUUAAAUAGGAGUGGUUCUACCCAUGUCGUCCAUGUUCCCUGCGGCCAAAGCGAGUUACUAAAAGUUGAGUUUUUAAUUUAGUUAUAUAGCUCCUGCCAGAGCAACUUUCGAUAAUUAAGUUGCUUGGUUAAUUCACCAGCUGAGCCAUUUGUCAUGCACUCAGUGAUAAAUUUACCUGCUACUUUCACAGCAGUCGUGUGGUGUUGUGAGAAAGGACCCAAAACGUGGGCACUGGCUGUGAUGCGAAGGAGCUUUGUUGUAGAAGGUGAAAACAACAAAAGCGAGGACAGAACUAAACAUAAACAUAAACUGGGAAAACUAGUAACAAACAAAACCCGAAACCAUAACUAACGGAAUGACACGCAGGGAAAAACAUACGGAGGUUACACAGGGGAUGGUGAGCGGAGAUGACACCGAGAUUCCCCAAAUAACACAGACAGAGCGACAAUGACCACAGGUGAAACCACACUAUAUAAACACACAAGGUAACAAGGGAAUGACACACCAGAGGAGGACACAGCUGAACCUAAUUAGACAUGAGAGACACAGACCUUCAAAGUAAAACAGGAAAUUUACAAACUGUUUUACAAACACAAACUCAGGGACACGAACAGAGCACCACGGGAGGACACAGGUUCUAAGAGAAGUGAGGAAACGCACAGGAAAAAAACACCCAGUUGUUGUGAACCAUCUAUCCAAAACAGGAUUAAAGAGCCAACCGUCGCAGUCAGGGUGACUCAAGUCACGGCAGGACACACGACGCCGACUCAUAGCCGUCGUCUUUCCUGAAAGACAAAUAAGGAAGAGGAGGGAGAUAAGGAUCAUGAUAAGUGAACUCAAUUUUGGGGGAUUUCUUGGCUUUUUUGGGACUUUUGCGAUGUCUGCAGUAUUAGAUUCUUUUAAAACUAUUCCAGGAAAUAUAAAAGCACAGAAAAUGUAAGAUUUAAUAUUUAAGUUGAAGCAGUUUUUAUUUUGGGGGAAUUCGACUUGAUCUUCCUUUGCAAUUCCAAGCACUGAAUUCAUGUUAUUCUUUACUGCUACAUUAUUGCCACAGCAACUGAACCCUCUUAAUCUCUGUAUCACACAGCUGAGUUGACUUAGUAUCAUCCAUAAAGCUUCCAACAAACU